CUACUUACCCAAUGGGAUAGAUUGAGAUCAAUAAUGUGGCCUUCCAGGGUAAGAAUAUUCUUUGCAUUCCAGGUAUGCUAACUCUUGUGAUUUCCCCAAAUGUGGAGACAUUGACUACGUAAUUUGUAGUGAAAGACUGUAUUUACAGCUUUAAA
rnacentral:snRNA from 14 species